AAUGGGAAACAGGAAUGUGAAAAGGUGUUUAACAUCCCUGAUCAUCAGAGAAAUGCAAAUCAAACUGCAAUGAGAUAUUAUCCCAUCCCAGUUAUAAUGACUUUUAUUCAAAAGACAAGCAAUAAUAAAUAUUGGUGAGGAUAUGGAGAAAAGGGAACCCUUGUACACUGUUGGUGGGAAUGUAAAUUAGUACCAAUACCAUGAAUAGUUUGGAGGUUCCACAAAAAACGAAAAAUUGAGCUACCACACGAUCCAGUAAUACCACUGCUGGGAACAUCUCAGAAGAAAGG